UAAGCAAGCACACACACACACACACACACACACACACACACACACACACACACACACACACCACACACACACACACACACACAACACACACACACACACACACACACACACACACACACAACACACACACACACACACACACACACACACACACACACACACACACACACACACACCAUACACACACCAAGAAAAAGAGAAAAGGGCUGGAAAUAACCACAAAAUAUUCUGUUGACCAGAAAUAGGAAGAGGGCAAACGUUUUCUGUUUUCAAUAUAUUUUUAUAUACCUAAAGGUUAUUGAGAAUUCCAAAGACUCUUGUGUAGGUACACAUAGAUGUUUUAUAAUUCAAAUUUUAUUAUUUUAUGUGUGGGGUGGUUUGCUUACAUGUAUGAAUGGACACCACGUGUAUGCAGUGCCAAAGCAAUCCAGAAGAGGGCACCAGAUUCCCUGGAAUUGGCGUUACAGCCAAUUGAGAGUCACCGUGAGUGCCGGGGUUUAAACCUAGAUCCUAUGGAAGAGCAGCCAGUACGAUUAACUGGUGACCCAACUUUCCAGCCCCAAAGAUCCUUACAAAUCCGUUCUUGUUUUGUUUUGAUUUUGAGAAAAGGUCUCACUAUGGAACGCUGUAUAGAGAAGACCAAGAGAGACUCAACAUGAUCUAUCUGCCUCUGCCUUGGGAAGGCUAGAAUUAAAGGCAUUCACCACCACACCCAGCUUUCCCUGGUUAUGCUUAUUAAUA
rnacentral:lncRNA from 1 species